AACGAACGCUGGCGGCAGGCCUAACACAUGCAAGUCGAGCGCGCCCUUCGGGGUGAGCGGCGGACGGGUGAGUAACGCGUGGGAACGUGCCCUUUUCUACGGAAUAGCCUCGGGAAACUGAGAGUAAUACCGUAUACGCCCUUUGGGGGAAAGAUUUAUCGGAAAAGGAUCGGCCCGCGUUGGAUUAGGUAGUUGGUGGGGUAAUGGCCUACCAAGCCGACGAUCCAUAACGGGUUUGAGAGGAUGAUCAGCCACACUGGGACUGAGACACGGCCCAGACUCCUACGGGAGGCAGCAGUGGGGAAUCUUAGACAAUGGGGGCAACCCUGAGCUAGCCAUGCCGCGGGAGGGAUGAAGGCCUUAGGGUUGUAAAGCUCUUUCAGCUGGGAAGAUAAUGACGGUACCAGCAGAAGAAGCCCCGGCUAACUCCGUG
rnacentral:rRNA from 1 species